rnacentral:rRNA from 1 species
GACGAACGCUGGCGGCGUGCUUAACACAUGCAAGUCGAACGGAGUGGCGAACGGGUGAGUAACACGUGUGUGACCUGCCCUGCACUUCGGGAUAAGCCUGGGUAACUGGGUCUAAUACUGGAUAGUGUGGGAUGGGCCCGCGGCCUAUCAGCUUGUUGGUGGGGUAAUGGCCUACCACGGCGGCGACGGGUAGCCGGCCUGGGAGGGUGGACGGCCACAUUGGGACUGAGACACGGCGCAGACUGGUACGGGGGGCAGUAGUGGGGAAUAUUGCGCAAUGAGGGGAAGUGUGAUGCAGCGACGCCGCGUGGGGGAUGAAGGCCUUCGGGUUGUAAACUCCUUUCACCAUCGACGCGGUAGAUGGAGAAGAAGCACCGGCUAACUACGUGCCAGCAGCCGCGGUAAUAC